CACGACACACACCCACACACGCAUGGAAGGAGAAGAGAAAACCCUCUCUUUCUCUCUCUAAAUCUCUCCCAAAAGAGGUGAAAUUGGUGGAGAAGAAGCUUGGAGGGAUCAUCAACACCAUCAUCUUCUUCUUCUUCAUUUUGGAGCAAGCUCUUGGAGGUAAGCUCCUUACCCAUUAAUGGUAGAUCCUUAAUGGUUGGGUUAAAUAGCUUAUAAAUGGAUUUAGAGGAAUCCUAGCAUGCUAUCUAGAUGAAUGAUGCUUCAAUCAUGAAUCAAUUUGGUGAUUUCUUGCAUAGUUGUAACCUAGGGCUCCAAAAUGCUAAUUUUCAAAAUAUGAGGGUUUGAUCUAAUUUGACCCUCCGUAAACAUAAUUGCUAGGUAACGAAACGCGUUGGCGAAGACGGUUCGGCAAUCCGACGAGCCGUUACAAAGUUAUUAAAGAAAUAGACGUUUAGGCUUCGGGUCCGCCGGGAGGGCCGAGGCGACGUCGUAAAAUCAUGAAAAUGGAUUUGAGGCAUCGUGGCACAUAACCGAAGACCUAUAAUUUUCGGGGCUGCAAAGCGGAGCACGGUUGAGGCGCAGUUGCAGUAUCGGGCCGUAACGGAUACGGGUGCCGCGGGAGGCCGAUUGCAAGUGUCGACAAGCAAUCGGAACGCGAAUUAAAGUGGGUUGUGUUUACCGAAGCGACUAGGUCACCUUUAUGUCUAAGAAACUAAGAAUCCAUGUUGAUGCAUAUAAAUGUAAAUGAAGCAUGUAAAUGAUGCAUGUAACUAAAUAAUGCAUGUUGAUAGUAUGAUGUAAAUGCUAAAUAGAAUGCAUUAAGAGCAAGUUACAUAAUGCUAAAUAAUGUAAUGUAGAAAUGCUAGAAUGCAUUAUGAGCAAGUUACAUAAUGCUAAAUAAUGUAAUGUAGAAAUGCUAGAAUGCAUAAUGAGCAAGUUAUAUGAUGCAUGUUUAUAAUAUGAUGUAAAUGCUAAGUAGAUGCAUAUAAAUGAUAUAUGAGAUUAUAAACGCAUGAUUAGCAUUAUGAGAUCAUAGAUGCAUACUUAGCAUUGUGAGAUUAUAUAUGCAUAUGAACUUGGUUGAUAACUCUAGCUUGAUUAGAGAGAUAAUAUUGGAAAAUGAGAAUUGAUAACUCUAGAAUGAGUAGAAUGCUUAAUUGGACAAUUAGUAUGUGAAUUAGAUCGAGUGGCAUCUAACUUAGUGUUAAGGAACAUAGGUCGUGAGUAGACCUAGAAUCAAAUAGAUCGAGUGGCAUCUAACCUAGUGUUAAUAAACAUAGGUCGUGAAAUGAAAAGUACUUAACCUAGAGUCAAGUGAACCUAGGUUGGAAAGAAUAAUGAUCCUAGUGUAAUAACCUAGGUUAAGAAUGUGAAAGCAAUAAACCUAAUGGGUGAACUUAGGUUGAGUAAAGGCUUAAACCUAGAGAGGUCAGUUCCAUAGGGUUAAGACCAACCCCUAUGUGAUGUGAAAUGGAUUCCGGAAUCCCAAGGCUAAAAGGAUACACCCAAAGUGGUGUCGGGUGUGUGCGACGAUUUCGCCGCCCAAGGGCUAAUUAACCAUUGUCGUGGCGUGUGCGACGAUUUCGCCGCCGGAUGGUUAGCCAGUUUGUGGAUCCUACCGCCUGUUGACUGAAUCACUAUCGUGGCGUUUGUGCGACGAUUUCGCCGCCGGGUGGCUAAGUCAUGGACCUAGGCCGUUGUUGGGUGAGGUGCGAUUCGUUCGCCGCCAGACGGCUAGGACAGGAGUACGGUGAGCUGUUGCCAGCUGAGGUGCAUGUGAGAGUUCCUUCACCUCGAGCUAGACAGUGCGCGGACUAUCCGCGAUUGAUUGACUCAAGACCGAGUCGUGUGGCAUAGAGAACUAAGGUAAGAGAAACCUUAGGAAAGAAUGGCCAGUAGAAAAGUGCGACAAAGUGUAAAGAAUAAAGAAUAAGUAAAGAAUAAAGAUCGGCUAAGGAAUAAGAAUAGCUGAUAAGUAAAGAAAAGUUACAAGUAAAGAAUAGCUAAGAGCUAAAAGUAAACAUUAAAUGACAAUAGUAAAGAAUGAUUAAGAAUAUAAGUAACGUUAAAGUAACCUACUUGCAUGAUUACAGGUAUUGCAUAUUGCAUUUCGUGAGGCAUGACAUGUAUUUCAAUUGAAUAUAUAUAUCUGUUGUAUAUUGUUGAACUAACAUGUUGCAGUGCCUCGUUAGACCUGUUGGUUGAGCUGGUUCUCUUGGGUGGCUAAACCCACUGAGGACUAUGGACAAUAGUCUCACCCCCGUGUUGCUGUUUUGGGGGUACAGGUACACACGUGUGCGGCGCGGCAGCGCAAGGCGAGGACGUAGUUCUGCAGAUAGCGCCCUACCCCAGAGACCAGAGCUAGCAGUACCCCGUCUAUAUAGCUUAGGGGUAAAGGAAAUGAAAAGAAUACAAUGUAUCAAACUUGUAGUAAGUAAAUGUUGUAAUAACUUAGAUUGCAUUUGGAUGAAAAGGAAUGAAAACUGUGAUGUAAAAACCAUGAAAGUGAAUGAAUGUAAUAACUUAGGAUGUGUUUAUGUUGUAUGAUACCUUCCACUUGCAAUCUUGAUUGAUAUCUGUUCCUGGUUGGAACCUUCGUGAAUUGUAUUGAUUGCGAUGCCUUGAAUGUACAGGGGAGACUUUGUCCGUAGUACAGGGGAAACCCUGUCCAUUCGGCGAUGUCGGCGGCGCUGGGACCUCGGCCAAAUAGGCGGGUGGUCGCGGGCUGUGACAAUAAACCUAUUGUCAUGAAGAGGCAUUAGAUUUGGAUGAUAUGUGAAUUGCAUGUGCAUAUUAAUAUUAUGAGAACUAUGCUAAGUUUAUAGUUGCAUACGGACGCAUUGAAACCUUAUGCUAGUGAAUAGAUGCGUGUUAAUAAUUAUAUGCAUUGGGGGUGCAUGCUAGGUACAUAUUAGCAAUUUGAGGUCAUGCUAGAGAGCAUGCAUAUUAACCUAUUAUUGAUAUAUUAAACUAAUGUCAUAAAGCGGCAUUGAGCUUGGGUUAUAUUUGAACCUUGUAUUGGUGCCAUAAAGGGGCAUAGAAUGUGAAAUGUGCUUGGAUUAUAAAAAAUUGUUUAAAUGUCAUAAAGAGGCACUAAACAUAGUAUAUGUUGGAACUUCACUCGAUACAUAGAACUAGACCGUUGGGUUGCUAGUAGCUCUUACCAUGUUAGAGACAUGAUGAUCGGACACUUGAGCUAUUGACUACGCUUGCUUGCCAUUUGUGCUCGUUCGCAUAUGCUUGUGAGGGUCGCUCCCUACAAGCCGGCAUUCCGGAGUUGGCCUACGCGACUUAUACUCGCUCGUGCAGUAUCGAGAAGCCUACGGGGUCGGGAGGGAUAGACUUAUUCCUAGAGUGGGAAUGCUGGAGCUACCACCGGCACUUAGGCGGCACAAGCUGAACUACACAUGUGUAGGUCCUAAAUGAGAUUAAACCAGAAUAUUAAACAACAGGUUGAUAAUCGCUACUAGACAGGUUAUAUUAGUUGGAUUCGUGACAUGUUAUGACAUAGGAUUGGACAGUUGGAUAUAUAGCACACUUGACAGUUUCGUAUAUUGCAUUGUAGUGUACUCAGUUGCCAUGAUAGUACAUCCUAGAUAUGUAUUGGACCCUAGGGCAGAUAGCAUACUUCAUAGUAUUACUUGUUGCAUCGUAGCGUAUUUGUUUAUGUAUCGGCAUACUGGAUCAUGUAGAGUAGAUGUACUCCAUAUUGACGUUCUGAAUUCUUGGCAUAGUAGAGUAGUAUUUAUUAUAUGCUUCAUUUACCGCAGUUUAUUCUUGUUAUCCUUAUCUGCUCUUUCUCUCUUGGGCCUGGUGGUGCAGUUGGUGCAGGUCAGUAAUUGCCCACUGGGAACUAUAAAUUAUAGUUCUCAUGCCCCCUGUUUUAUGUUUUCUUUCAGAGCCUUUCACUCUGAGAGAGGCUCGGGAUCGCGGGAAGGUUUCACCUCGAGUUAGCUAUCGAGGGACUUGGUGAUAGG
rnacentral:lncRNA from 1 species